GUGCUGGCUUUGGCAACACAUAUACAAAAAUUGGAAUGAUACAGGGAACAUUAGCAUGGCCCCUGCUCAAGGAUGACAGGCAAAUUCGUGAAGCAUUCCAUGUUUUU
rnacentral:snRNA from 1 species